UGGGGAAUCUUAGACAAUGGGCGCAAGCCUGAUCUAGCGAUGCCGCGUGAGUGACGAAGGCCCUAGGGUCGUAAAGCUCUUUCGCCAGGGAUGAUAAUGACAGUACCUGGUAAAGAAACCCCGGCUAACUCCGUGCCAGCAGCCGCGGUAAUACGGAGGGGGUUAGCGUUGUUCGGAAUUACUGGGCGUAAAGCGCGCGUAGGCGGACUAUUAAGUCGGGGGUGAAAGCCCGAGGCUCAACCUCGGAACUGCCUUCGAUACUGCGGGUCUUGAGUCCGGGAGAGGUGAGUGGAAUUCCUAGUGUAGAGGUGAAAUUCGUAGAUAUUAGGAAGAACACCAGUGGCGAAGGCGGCUCACUGGCCCGGUACUGACGCUGAGGCGCGAAAGCGUGGGGAGCAAACAGGAUUAGAUACCCCCGUAGUCC
rnacentral:rRNA from 1 species